CAGCAACCAAAGUGGGCGUGGCCUGCCUCCUGCGGGGAGCACAAAGGUGGGUUUUUGUUUUUAUGUAUCAACUCUGUUCUCUUUGUCUCCACAGCUCCAGCACCCGUUUAAGUCCUCAGUUUUACCGUAAGGACCCAGAUUCAUCUACAGGGCCAGAGUGUGACCUCAAGAGGGUGGUGUCAGCUCAAAGGCCACUCAGCUGCUCUCAGGUUAAACUCGAUCCCAAUCAGCAGACAACAAAGACUGACUAGGGGUGGGGUGGGGGUGGGAUGGUGGGGGGUGGGGAAGGUGAUGGUGGUGGAGGGUGGUGUCAGCACGGAGAGUGUUUGUCUGCACAGAGCUGGGUGAGGUGUCUGCACUGGAGAAGCUUUUAAAAACUGUGCUGUGAUUGGCAGACAAUCACCAAACCUUAACCAAACCCAGAAAAAAAAAGUCAAAAGCCUUCCAUUUGGGGCUACAGACUGUCUUUGCUGGAAUGGAAAGAGAUCUUGUUGUAAGAGGAGCGUUGGAUGAACCAGCCCCAACCCAGGGUCUAGAGUUUGAGGAGUGACAAGGGCAGAUCUCUAAGGAAGCGAAACUCCUCUGAGACCCGACAGGGAACCAGCUUCCUCGAGGAACCUGAGUGAAAGGUCAGAUUGGGGGAACAUCUCAGGGAGGGACCAGCAUGUGCAAAGGUCCUGGGGUGUUGUAGAGCCUGCUCUGUCGAAGGAAGGAAGAGGCUAAAAGUGCCAUGGUGGAGUAUGGUAGGAGGUGGGUCCUGCUCUAAAGGCUCGGAUGCAGGGCAUUAGGAUGUGUGGGGACACAGGGGCUGCUGAAGGGGUCUCUGGGGUCUGGACUAGGGAUUUAUUUCUAGCUGUAUGCUUCUGUGGGGACUCAGAGAUACUUAGCUUGUCUCUGCAAAUGACUUUCUGGUCACUGUUGUGUCCCUGCGUGAUGCUGAAAAUAUUAAAGUUGUUGGGGGAGGGGAGAAAAACAGACCUUCGGGCUACAACUGUACAUCUAGGAGAGUUAACUAUUUCCUUAUGUAACACAAGUAACUCCGGAGUCCAAAUCAGGGUGGGUGUGGUGAGGGGUGGGGGAGGGGUAGGAGGGAUUACCCAAAGUGCAAGUAAAUCAGCAACAGGGACACUGAAUCAUUAAGGGUGUCUCUGAAGCCCUGAAAGGCCUCUCAGCUUGGCAUGGCCCCCCGCCCCGCCCCAGCUCGCUCUCUUGAUGCCCAUGUGUGUGACUUGACAGCAUUCCUGCCUUGCUGGCCCACUGCCCCACUCCAAGGAAGGACGCUCUCAAGGUCCAGGUCCCUGGCAGGUAAACAGCAAAGUUUCAGAUUCACAGACAUCCUCUCCCUCCUGCACCAACUGCCCACCAGGAAAGUGGGAGCUUGGCGCUGCUUGCAAAGGACUAGGUGAUGUAUGAGCCUGUCUGCGGGCGCCAGGUCCUGAUCUGUGUCCCUGUGAAUAAGAAGCCACUUAAGAGUGUCAGGCAAUCAGGGACUGCCCCUCCUCCUGCCUUCGACCUUGCCUCAGCUUUUGUGGAGUCUGUGGGGUGAUGUGAUAGAGGCUGUGUAGUCAGAUCAGCACCACAGAGGGAGAACAUGGAGAUGGUGUGGUCUCUCCUCCCCAACAGCGUAUUCUGUGUUGCUAGUGUGAGUGCUGCCCAGGGACCCACGAGAUCAGUGUUGACCAAUAGAACUGGGUGAAGGACGUGGGAAUUUGGGUCAGAGACUUCUAUCAGAAGAUGAAAGUCAUCCAGGCAGAGCCUACUGAUUCUGUCCCACACAAUCCACUCUGCCCUCAGUGAAUGAGCAUCAAGUCGAUGGUGAAUGUGGCAUUGACCUAUACCUGCUUUGAGCAUGGGUCUGUCUCCUGCCCUGUGCCCCAGUGUUAAACACACCAUCCUGGUGACAGUGUUAUGUCCCUGUAGGAGAACAUGGAUGCUGGCACAUCUGAGAUUUACUGUCAGGGCAACAUCAGUGGAAUGAGAACCCUGCUGAGCACAUGGGGCAGCUGUUUCCGUGGGACCUGCUGUCCUGACCUGGGAGUGCCAUGCUGGGGACAUGCUGAGGACCACAGGUGAUUUGAUGUAGGAGGUGCAGGAGUGGCCUCCAGGGGCACAGCCCACCUCCACUGACCCCCUGGCUCCCUGAGGCAGAGACACGGGUGCAGAGCUGGCCUAUCACAUGCUCUUUCCUGGUACCCUGAGUUUUUGGGUGAAUGAAGAAAAGGAGGGAGGAGAGAGAGGGUGGUGACUCCUCCAGGGGACAUGCCCCAGGAUCUGAGCUUAGGGUGGAGCUGCUACGCCCUGGCCACCAUGGCUUCUGGUUUUCCAACCUGGUCUCCCCACCCUGUGAAGAGCCCACUAUCACACAUUGUCCUGGC
rnacentral:lncRNA from 1 species